AAUAGAUACCCCGGUAGUCCACCCCGUAAACGUUGGGAACUAGUUGUGGGGACCAUUCCACGGUUUCCGUGACGCAGCUAACGCAUUAAGUUCCCCGCCUGGGGAGUACGGCCGCAAGGCUAAAACUCAAAGGAAUUGACGGGGACCCGCACAAGCGGCGGAGCAUGCGGAUUAAUUCGAUGCAACGCGAAGAACCUUACCAAGGCUUGACAUAUACGAGAACGGGCCAGAAAUGGUCAACUCUUUGGACACUUGUAAACAGGUGGUGCAUGGUUGUCGUCAGCUCGUGUCGUGAGAUGUUGGGUUAAGUCCCGCAACGAGCGCAACCCUCGUUCUAUGUUGCCAGCACGUAAUGGUGGGAACUCAUGGGAUACUGCCGGGGUCAACUCGGAGGAAGGUGGGGAUGACGUCAAAUCAUCAUGCCCCUUAUGUCUUGGGCUUCACGCAUGCUACAAUGGCCGGUACAAAGGGCUGCAAUACCGUAAGGUGGAGCGAAUCCCAAAAAGCCGGUCCCAGUUCGGAUUGAGGUCUGCAACUCGACCUCAUG
rnacentral:rRNA from 1 species